UUGAACGCUGGCGGCAUGCUUUACACAUGCAAGUCGAACGGUAACAGGCCGCAAGGUGCUGACGAGUGGCGAACGGGUGAGUAAUGCAUCGGAACGUGCCCAGUCGUGGGGGAUAACUACUCGAAAGAGUAGCUAAUACCGCAUACGAUCUAUGGAUGAAAGCGGGGGACCGUAAGGCCUCGCGCGAUUGGAGCGGCCGAUGUCAGAUUAGGUAGUUGGUGGGGUAAAGGCUCACCAAGCCAACGAUCUGUAGCUGGUCUGGGAGGACGACCAGCCACACUGGGACUGAGACACGGCCCAGACUCCUACGGGAGGCAGCAGUGGGGAAUUUUGGACAAUGGGCGCAAGCCUGAUCCAGCAAUGCCGCGUGCAGGAAGAAGGCCUUCGGGUUGUAAACUGCUUUUGUACGGAACGAAACGGCUCGGGUUAAUACCCGGGGCUAAUGACGGUACCGUAAGAAUAAGCACCGGCUAACUACGUG
rnacentral:rRNA from 1 species